rnacentral:rRNA from 1 species
AUGGUGCUUGCAGUUGUUGUGGGUGCUGAUGGUUCACUGUCUUGGUUUCUUGGAAUGGUGAUUCAAGAAGGGACACCAUCGUGUGGAUGGACCAUAGGGCUCUUGACCAAGUCGAGUGAAUUAAUUCUCACAGUUCACCGAAUUGCAUUGGCAAAUCAUGAAAGGUGUAAUGUUCACGGAUUUUUGUUAGAUGAUCUGUUGGUCCGGUUUAAUUUUAGCGGGCAUGAGGCAUCUGGGAAACAUGUUUCAAGGGCCUUGUUUGUCGAUCUGGAGCCCACUGUUAGUAGAUUAUGGCAGUAA